AUGGAGCUUUGUUGGCAAACAUCCAUCCAUGGUUCUUGAAGAAGCAUGGAGAUAAAGGGGUGUGAGAGGGUCCUCACCACUCACACUCCUCCACUUAAAACAGUUUGUUUUGGCUUAGCUUUGGCUUCUCUAAUCAACAAGGGAUGUGUUCUAACAUUCUCUCUUGAGUGGCAGAAGCAGAUAUGCAUUCUCCAAAGGAGGAGAGGCUUUGGCUACAGCCUGGCAAACCGGCAAGUCACGAAAAGGCAAUGGACUCCAUUGGGGUCUC
rnacentral:sRNA from 11 species